rnacentral:ribozyme from 1 species
AGGCUGAGGCUGAAGCUGAUGCUAAGGCUAAGGCUGAGGGUUCAGAGACUUCGCGUUUGUGCGAGGGUGAUCCAGGUGGUCCAUCACGGUCUUUUG